GCCUCUCGCCUCUCGCCCUACAGGAGGCACCCUACAGAACCCAACCAAAAAGCGCCGGCGGCAAACAGAACCCAACCCAAAGCGCCGGCGGCAAGCGAAGAGAAAGCGCCGGCACUAAUCCGACGAUGGACGCGUCGGCCGGCGGCGGCGGCAACUCCCUGCCGACCACUGGCGCGGACGGGUCGAAGCGCCGCGUCUGCUACUUCUACGACGCGGAGGUGGGCAACUACUACUACGGGCAGGGCCACCCGAUGAAGCCGCACCGCAUCCGCAUGACCCACGCGCUGCUCGGCCGCUACGGCCUCCUCGACCAGAUGCAAGUGUUCCGCCCUCACCCUGCCCGCGACCGCGACCUCUGCCGCUUCCACGCCGACGAUUACGUCUCCUUCCUCCGGUCCGUCACCCCCGAAACGCAGCAGGACCAGAUCCGCGCGCUCAAGCGCUUCAACGUCGGCGAGGACUGCCCCGUCUUCGACGGUCUCUACAGUUUCUGUCAGACGUACGCGGGGGGCUCUGUUGGCGGCGCCGUCAAGCUCAACCAUGGCCAUGAUAUCGCCAUCAACUGGGCCGGCGGACUCCACCACGCCAAGAAGUGCGAGGCCUCCGGGUUUUGCUAUGUUAAUGACAUUGUCCUCGCCAUCCUCGAGCUCCUCAAGUACCACCAGCGCGUUCUGUACGUGGACAUUGAUAUCCACCACGGGGACGGCGUGGAGGAGGCUUUUUAUACCACAGACCGGGUGAUGACAGUCUCAUUCCACAAGUUUGGAGAUUAUUUCCCUGGGACAGGGGACAUUCGUGAUGUUGGGCACUCAAAGGGUAAAUAUUACUCCCUGAAUGUUCCCCUGGACGAUGGUAUUGAUGAUGAGAGCUACCAGUCGUUGUUCAAGCCAAUAAUGGGCAAGGUGAUGGAGGUCUUCAACCCUGGUGCAGUCGUGCUCCAGUGUGGUGCGGAUUCAUUGUCGGGUGACAGGUUGGGCUGUUUCAACCUCUCUAUUAAGGGUCACGCAGAAUGUGUAAGAUUUAUGAGGUCCUUCAACGUCCCGCUGUUGCUGCUUGGUGGUGGUGGGUAUACCAUAAGAAACGUUGCACGGUGUUGGUGCUACGAGGUAUGUAUUCCUUACGGGGAAAACACACAUUUGUUAUGCCUUUCCAGUUUCCACUUUUCUGUUGUUUGUUAUUCCAUUAAUUCCAAUAAACCUUGUGUUCUGUCAGAGGUCAUCUAUAGGCAUCGGACAGUUAGGGGCAAAAUGCCAAAGAUUUUCUUUCCUUCAAUAUUUUGCAUUGUUUUCAUGAAAUAGGAUCAUGAUUAAUUAUUGAUUAGGAGGAUUCUGUAAAACAAGGAUAGCUUGCUUAGAUGUUAAGUAAGCCUCUCCAUGACAAUUAUCUUGCUUGGCCUCAACGGCCAUCUUUCACGUCUCUCUCGCUCGCCUACUCCCUGCGCUGCUGGGGGUACACACUCCGACCAUCGAUCUCCAGCCCUUAGUAACCAGGUUCUUGGAUCGACGGGGUCGAGAAACAAGAACGUGGUAGGUGGUACAAUACUUAUUUUUUUAACACUACGGAGACAAGAUUGUUCCUGCGUUCCCAGAACAAAGAACAUGGACAAGUUUUAGAUUCCUGGUUUCAAAGCUCCAACUUGCAUAACUUAUGCAACCGCGGUAGGAUUCUAUAUCCUAUCAAUCUAGUAUUGGAGGUGCUGGUGACGAUGACUCUGAGAAGCAACGUCAAUCCUACCACCGUGAAGGGCCCAACGGAUGUCAUUAUGUAGCUGGCCAAUUUCUCCACCCUCAUGUCGUCACUAGAGCACCGACACACGUCUUCCUCUAUGGGCGCCAUGUACCUAGGUUUCCCCUAUGGGAUGUUCUCAUUCUUCUCCACUACCACUGUUGUGCCAUCCUCCACCACCGUGCCCACCGCUCUUAGCUGAAUCGUCCUGUGUACUGCGACAGCCACUGCUAUCCCAUCUGCCUCUCUUCCCAUCUUAGCAGAUCAACUUUCCCUCCCCGCCAUCUCUGCAGCUAACAUUUCUAUAAGGGCCGUCGUUCCCAUCUACAUGUGUGCCCUCCACUGUUGUCGCUAUCGGCGUGGUCGUCUCCAUGACAUGUUCCAUGUGGGGCUGCUCGAGCCGUUUUGUGGGGACCCCCGAUGACUCAGGCACCCAUGCCGCCUAUACAGGAUAGCCAACUACUUCCUAAGCCAUAUCGUGUUUUGCGGGCCCAACUAUGCUGGGUGUCUGGCACGUCCUCGUUCAGUUGCGUGGCCUGCCCAACGAUGACACUGUUGAAGUGUAUAAGUGGAUUGUCUACCUUCUACUAUCAACUUAAGCUUUUGGGUUCAACUGGUUAGUGCGUCCAUUCUAACAUGGUAUCAAAGCCAGAGGUUUCGCGUUCGAAUCCUGGCGGAGGCUUUAUUUGUGCCUCCACCCAUUUAUUUCCACGUUUGCGCCUUUCUCUCUGGCUGCAUGUGAGUGGGGGUGUUGAAGUAUAUAAGUGGAUUGGCUAUCUUUUCCCAUCAGUUUAAGCUUUUGGGUUGAACUGGUUAGUGCGUCCAUUCUAACAGACACCACUUGAGAGUGCUAAUAAUUCAAGGACCUCUACCCUAAUGUCCAACUCGAGGAUGAGCUGCUUAAGGAGGUGGGGAGAUGUUAUGGUCAGCGUUACCAAAUAUUUUUCUUCAUCAAAUAUUUUGCAUUGUUUUCAUAAAAUAGGAUCUUGAUUGAUUCUUGAUUACGAGGUUUUCAUAAAAAUAAGGAUAGCUUGCUUAGAGAUCAAGUAAGCCUUUCUAUAUAAGGAGAGAUUUCACACGCCUAUUCCCUGUGUACGACCACAACUCCUCUGCCGUCGAAGACAGGAGUUGCCCUUGGUCAUGAGCUCACUGACAAGAUGCCACCUAAUGAGUACUAUGAGUAUUUUGGUCCAGAUUACACUCUACAUGUCGCUCCAAGUAACAUGGAGAAUAAAAACACACGGCAUCAAUUGGAUGACAUAAAAUCAAAACUUCUAGAUAAUCUUUCAAAACUCCGACAUGCUCCUAGUGUUCAGUUUCAAGAGCGACCUCCUGAGGCUGAGUUACCUGAGCAAGAUGAAGACAAAGAGAAUCCUGAUGAAAGACAUGAUGCUGAUUCUGAUGUGGAGAUGAAUGAUGCCAAACCUUUGCAGGACUCUGGAAGGAUGUCAAUAGUGUAGCUGCAGAACAUUCUAGAGGCACUGGACCUGUGGCUGAUGGAGUUGGUUCCUCGAAACAAACCUUUCCGAAUGCCACUAGUCGAAUGGCCAUAGAUGAACCAAACGCUCUUGAGAGUUGAGCAAGAGGGUUCAAACAAAUUGCAGGACCAACCAUCGAUGCACCUCAAGUAGCUAAUGUCAUCUGUAGCCUGUCGAUUCUUUUGCGCAAAUUCAUUAACUGUAGGCAAGCCAUGCGUGGACUGAAGCAGGGAGCAGAAGCAAGUGCUCGACCAAGAAGUUGUGCAUCUGAAAUCUAUAUUUUUUGCGCGUCAUAUUUGUAUUACCGACAGUUGCAAACGAUGGUUUAAUCAUGAAAAAUUUGUCUUUCC